rnacentral:tRNA from 1 species
GGUCCCGUGGUGUAGUGGUUAACAUGCCUGCCUGUCACGCAGGAGAUCGCCGGUUCGACCCCGGUUGGGACCGCCA